AUUAAGCCUUGUGGGACUGUUGUAGGCCCCUCUUUUUUAACUUGUGAAAGUUAGUGGAAAAUGGAUCAAACGCUUUUAAAAAUGGACGAAAUGAAAACGACAAUCUGCCAGGCAGCAGGCGACAACCAGCAAGAAAAGACUGAUUCCUCCUGUAAGACUGCUUCAAAAUUAAACGACCAAAAUUUGACAUAUUAUUAAUAAUGCAAAUUUAAAAUUUGUAAUACAGCUCCAUCUAUCAGAAACACCCACCCAAGGACAGUCUAAGACAUGUUUUUGGACUGCUGGAAGAGAGAAUCGUAUCUAAAUUAUUAGAAAAAUUAUGGAGCUACAGUGUGUAAUUUUCAGCGACAUCUAACAUCCAGACUGCAGACCGCAG